rnacentral:rRNA from 1 species
AUUUAGCAUCGUACUUACACGUUUUCGGUUGGGGCGACCCUGGAGAAAAACCUAACCUCCAUGCUGUUAAAUAUAUGAACCUCAAUUCUACAAUCAACAUAUUGACACAAUUGACCCAAACAUUUGAUCAACGAACCAAAGUUACCCCUAGGGAUAAACAGCGCCAUCCCACUUUCAAGAGUACAUAUCCUACAAAGUGGGCCUUACGACCCUCGGAUG